rnacentral:sRNA from 21 species
GUCAACGACCCUGGUCUGAAGGUCGGGGCUUGAGGUGUGCCGCACCGCGCACCGAUAGCCCCACGUUGACCAGCCCCAGCCAUCAGCUCAAGGAGGUGCAUUUUGAUGGCUACGUUGAACACAAGACAGCAGACCCACCGGCAGGUGCUUCCUCAGUCUGCCGCUCUGGA